ACUCCUACGGGAGGGCAGCAGUGGGGAAUAUUGCACAAUGGGCGCAAGCCUGAUGCAGCCAUGCCGCGUGUGUGAAGAAGGCCUUCGGGUUGAUAAAGCACUUUUCAGUUGUGAGGAAAGGUUAGUCGCUAAUAAUCGGCUAGCUGUUGACGUUAGCAACAGAAGAAGCACCGGCUAACUCCGUGCCAGCAGCCGCGGUAAUACGGAGGGUGCGAGCGUUAAUCGGAAUUACUGGGCGUAAAGCGCGUGUAGGUGGC
rnacentral:rRNA from 1 species